GAUAAACGCUGGCGGCGUGCAUGAGACAUGCAAGUCGAACGGGCUUCUCGGGCUUGCUCGAGAAGCUAGUGGCGGACGGCUGAGUAACGCGUGGGUGACCUACUCCGAAGUGGGGAAUAACUGCCCGAAAGGGUGGCUAAUACCGCAUGUGAUCGGUCAUUCGAUUGACUGAUCAAAGCAGCAAUGCGCUUUGGGAGGGGCCUGCGUCCGAUUAGCUCGUUGGUGUGGUAACGGCUCACCAAGGCGACGAUCGGUAGGUGGUCUGAGAGGACGAUCACCCAGACUGGGACUGAGACACGGCCCAGACUCCUACGGGAGGCAG
rnacentral:rRNA from 1 species